GGCAGUUUCCUGAUCUUCUGGAUAUGCUGCCACGCUGUCCCAGGGCUGGUGGUGUCCCCUGACUUGUUCCUCUCCUGACUUUCUCAGCCUGGAGACUGAAAGCUCUCUUUGGCUGUUGGCCCUCCCAGGCAGAGUCCACUGGCUGUUAGGGUGAAAUGGGGCUGAUGCUUCCUGGAAUCCACCAGAAGUAUGCAAAUUGCACCAUCUCUUUCAGCUGCCUGCGCCUGCAUUCCAUCGAGGAUUCCGGCUCGUCCCCCAGUGGCAACAACUAGAGAGGAGAUGAGCCAAGAUAGAAGGGCAUCUUCCCAACAUAAAUGAGACACAAAGACAAUGUGGGUAAAAGUGAAAUCAGCUUUAUUGUGAAACUGUAAUCAAAGAAGAACUGGCUAUUGGUGCUACCACCUGGAUUCAAGAAGAUGGACAAAGUGACCUCAGAAUCAACCCACAAGUACUUACUGACCACCCAC
rnacentral:lncRNA from 1 species